GCUGAAGUGGAACAUGGCCAAUACGAUCUGAUUUUUUUCCCGAUAUGGGGUGCUGCGUUGAAAUAUGUCAUAUGUUUUGAUUUGCCAGACGGGAAAAUGAAUAUCAUUGAACACAGUUUGGCAGAACCGCACGCUUCCUUUGAAGCCAAGUACGGCAAGACACCAUCUCUUUUGAAAAAGUUCUUUGCUGAUGCACUAACGAGGUGCAAAGUCCCUAAGAUGGCAUCCCAGGUCCGACAGUGCAGAACAAACUUGGUAGCCAUGCCUUGGAGGAACAAUAACG